AUUGAACGCUGGCGGCAGGCUUAACACAUGCAAGUCGAACGGUAGCACAGAGAGCUUGCUCUCGGGUGACGAGUGGCGGACGGGUGAGUAACGUCUGGGAAACUGCCCGAUGGAGGGGGAUAACUACUGGAAACGGUAGCUAAUACCGCAUAACGUCGCAAGACCAAAGUGGGGGACCUUCGGGCCUCACACCAUCGGAUGUGCCCAGAUGGGAUUAGCUAGUAGGUGGGGUAAUGGCUCACCUAGGCGACGAUCCCUAGCUGGUCUGAGAGGAUGACCAGCCACACUGGAACUGAGACACGGUCCAGACUCCUACGGGAGGCAGCAGUGGGGAAUAUUGCACAACGGGCGCAAGCCUGAUGCAGCCAUGCCGCGUGUAUGAAGAAGGCCUUCGGGUUGUAAAGUACUUUCAGCGGGGAGGAAGGCGGUGAAGUUAAUAGCUUCACCGAUUGACGUUACCCGCAGAAGAAGCACCGGCUAACUCCGUGCCAGCCGCCGCGGUAA
rnacentral:rRNA from 1 species